rnacentral:rRNA from 1 species
UACGUAGGGUGCAAGCGUUGUCCGGAAUUAUUGGGCGUAAAGAGCUCGUAGGCGGCUUGUCGCGUCGGCUGUGAAAACCUGGGGCUCAACCCCGGGCCUGCAGCCGAUACGGGCAAGCUAGAAUUCGGUAGGGGAGACUGGAAUUCCUGGUGUAGCGGUGAAAUGCGCAGAUAUCAGGAGGAACACCGGUGGCGAAGGCGGGUCUCUGGGCAGUAACUGACGCUGAGAAGCGAAAGCGUGGGGAGCGAACAGG